UACAGAGGUCCCGAGCGUUGUUCGGAUUCAUUGGGCGUAAAGGGUGCGUAGGCGGCGGGGUAAGUUUGAUGUGAAAUCCCGGGGCUCAACCCUGGAAUUGCAUUGAAUACUACCUUGCUAGAGUACCGGAGAGGAAACUGGAAUUUACGGUGUAGCAGUGAAAUGCGUAGAGAUCGUAAGGAAGACCAGUGGCGAAGGCGGCUUUCUGGUCUGUAACUGACGCUGAGGCGCGAAAGGCGUGGGGGAGCAAACAGG
rnacentral:rRNA from 1 species